GGGCUCGUAGCUCAGCUGGUUAGAGUGCUUGCUUGACAUGCAAGAGGUCCCCCGUUCAAGUCGGGGCGGGCCCACCA
rnacentral:tRNA from 1 species